rnacentral:rRNA from 1 species
AGCUCCAAUAGCGUAUAUUAAAGUUGUUGCGGUUAAAAAGCUCGUAGUUGGAUUUCUGCCGAGGACGACCGGUCCGCCCUGUGGGUGCGCAUCUGGCUCGGCCUGGGCAUCUUCUUGGAGAACGUAUCUGCACUUUACUGUGUGGUACGGUAUCCAGGACUUUUACUUUGAGGAAAUUAGAGUGUUUCAAGCAGGCUCACGCCUUGAAUACAUUAGCAUGGAAUAAUAAGAUAGGACUUCAGUUUCUAUUUUGUUGGUUUCUAGAGCUGAGGUA